GUGUGUUGUUACCACUGAUCUAAAUUUAAAAAAGGCUCAUUGGCCACCAAAAGUGCAGUCGCCAAUCGCCAUCUUGAUCCGACCUGCGCAGCGUUAAUCGCCACUUUCGUGGCUGUGAGAAAACAUUCCACAGGUAAGUGAAAAAGAUUUACUUUGACACUGUUAAAGUUUGUUUGUAAAGUUUUUUUUUUUUUUUUUUUUUAAAUUCUCUGAUGACCUUAAUUCACUUGAACAAAGUUUUGUUUACGGUUGUUCACUGUUAACUCUCUGCUUCACCUUUACAGGCCGGCGGUUUUUCGCAAAAAAACGACGUCAAUAUUUUCCCAAACUUCCUCAGCGGAUAAGCGGAAAAAAAAACACAUUUUCUGUGACAUUUUUUGAUGAAUUCCAUAAUACAGAAUUCUGCAAAUUGAAUUUUGAUUUCCAAAUGCGUGGGAACAAGUUUCAAUUUUCUGUCUGAAAGAGGACGUCGCAGAGACAACAAAUGAACAAUGCGUUGAGCAUGUAUUUUCCCAAUUGCGAGUCCUUAUUUCCAAAAAUAUAUUGAACUGAUUGACUUAACCCUCUCUGGACCAAAUAAAAAUUUUGCAGGGAGAAAAAUCUGAUACUUUCAGAAAAUGAUACUCUGGACUUAAAAUUUUUGAUUAUAUUAAACCUGUUGCAAAUUGGGGGUUAAAAUUAAUUUUUUGAAUGACAAAAAUGCUUGGGUAUUUUGUACUAUGCUAUGAUGAUAGCGCGUCACAGCGUAUUUUGGGAAACGUUAACGUGUCACGGAAAUCGGGCCGAGGUAAUAUGCAAGGUUUCAUGCUAGUCACAGUGUUCUAUGUCUGUCCUUUGCAAGUAGCCUUUUUUGACCUACCAAGUCGAAUUAAAAAUCCUUCAUGUUACCAGAAGUUAAAAAAUGUCAAGUUCACGCGACCAGUUUUAAUUCUCCAUGGCAAACUUUGGGGAAAAACCCCGUCAUAAUCCGAUGUCCUCCACGCGUUUCGGGAGUACCAAGAUGGCGGCCAAGUGGCUUCAACCAAUCGACAUACCGCUCGAUGUCUACGCGCUAUCCACUCUUUGAUGUUACAUACUUGGCCAUUAAAGGUGCAUUUCUAAUCAGCGUCCAAUCAGAUUUGAGCUUCUCCGUGCGUUGCCAUAGGAACGUAAUCUUCCCGUUGCCUUCAGGUUCCGGAUGUUUGUUUUUUUUUUUUUUGGCUCCGUCAACCGCCGGAGUGCGCCCAACACAGCUAGCUAAAAAAAAAAAGGCUGGAGUUUCUCUGACAAAAUGCAUCUCCGGAAACCAAAAGCGGAACGAAAAUGUCGCCACCUGCAGGAACGAUGACGUCAUGCUGCCGUCCGUCCCUUCGGACACAUCAUUAGAUGGUGCACCGCCGUCGAAGUCCUCUGGUGCCUACCCACCUUCCGCCUCGGACUUCAGCCGCUUUAGUGUCUGUCGCGACCCAUCGGUACGGAGGAGGACCCGAAUGCAGGACUCCGGAGACGCAGAGGCAGGACCGAACUGAGUUCACAUGACUUGAAAGGGGAAAGUCGUCAACCGACGUCAGCUUCCGGCAACCCCCAACCAACUCCGAGCGCCUCGCGGACGCCGUCGCCUCCGAAAGUCGACGGCGUCUGAACGCUUGACAUUUUCUCGCGCCAUUUGCCGUCGCGGCGAUUCCCGCUCCUGGCGUGGCACGGCCCGGCCCUGAGCCGACGCAUCCGAGACGACAACAACUGGCGCCGCUUUUGAGAAGGAAGUGGACCGGCUGUUUCCAGACACGAAAUGACACAAGCGCUGGCGGUAUGUGAUACUCCGUGCUAAAGGAUUCCCAAGCUAGGUGGGGCGGGGGAGCGAAUAAAAAGUUCACCGUACGACCUGGGACGCCACAAAUGAUGGAAAAUUGACUUUUUAACGUUCAUUUAACGGAAUUGUUAUUGCUAUAUCUGGUAUUGUUUAACACAGACCGGAGCCUUUGACGCCAUUGAGAGUGUUGAAUUGUGGUUGGGGCGGAAAUGCACCCACAGUUUGACCUCUUUGACAGCUCCUGCCCGUGUCAAGGGGAACAGAACCGCCGCUGGUAGAUUCAGGUCACUACCAGAAUUUGGACGACCGGCAAUGCCUCGAAAAGAUUAGGCCAACAGCUCCCUCUAGUGGCACUUGCUGGCCAUCACCGUCGUAGCGCCCACUAGAGGCUGCGUUUAACUCUUACUGCAGAUGGACAAAAGUAUUUGGACACAGCCUCGAAUGCGAUUUAUCAAUUGGACCCAAGGAAAAAGCAGGAAAAGGAUUGUUCAAUUUUUAAAAUAAUUAUUUUUGAGAAGAAAAGUCGCAUAUUUUCUAGAGAAAAAUAAUUGUGUUUUUUAAGAAUUUGUAUUAUAUUCUCAGAGGGAAAAAAUAUAUUUUAGGAAAAGGUUUUGUAUUUAAAAAUGAGUUGUAGAUCUUUCUAUUAAAAAAAAAAAUCAGUAUAGUUCCCGCCUCCCAGAAAAAUGUUUUAUACCUGUACUUUAUUUAAGAAAAAGCUGUAUAAUUUAAAAUCUGAAGUCUUAAUAUUUGUAAGAAAAAAAGUUGUACAUUUUCUUGGUAAAAAAUAGUCUUUGGGUUUUUUUGUGUUAAAAAAAGUGUAUUUUGUGAGAAACAAUUAAAAAGAAAUAAUAAUAAUUUUAAGUCAUAUAUUGUCUCAUGUAAUGUACUUUUCUUAAAUGAGUAAAGUUGUAUAUUACAGAAAAUGUUUAUACUUCC